rnacentral:lncRNA from 1 species
UAUACCAGCAAUCAUAUAUUAGCGACGAACAGUUUGAUCGCAGUUUCAAUAAUCAAUCUAUAAGCAAUAUCCAUCCACUUUUUAUAUGACAAUUUUUCACAUUUCACAAUUCAAAUUAUCACCAAACAUCAUAAUAAAUUAACAAACAAACCAAAAUAUAUUUCUAAUUCAAAGUAUCUUUAAAAUCCAAACAAACAAAAUAUUUCCAACUAAGAAUCUUUCCAGAAUAGUUAAAGUAUUCAAAUCUCGAUUAAUCAUUCUAAUACAUGAUCACUAAUAUUUUUUGAACAAAAACAACAACAUUCCAUUUUAAGAAAUUUUUGUAGUUGGCUUGCUCUGAUGUAGUCCACUCGCAUAUUUCCGCACAAAAAAUAAAAAACUUUU